AAGGGAAAGUAGAAUACUAAAAGAAGCUGCUAACUAUCUUUUACAAGCGGUUAAAUUCCGUUAUUCCCUUA
rnacentral:tRNA from 1 species